UACGGGGGGAGCAAGCGUUGUUCGGAUUUACUGGGCGUAAAGGGCGCGUAGGCGGCCACCGCAAGUCGGUUGUGAAAUCUCUGGGCUUAACCCAGAAAGGUCAACCGAUACUGCGGGGCUGGAGUGCGGAAGGGGCAACUGGAAUUCUUGGUGUAGCGGUGAAAUGCGUAGAUAUCAAGAGGAACACCUGCGGCGAAGGCGGGUUGCUGGGCCGACACUGACGCUGAAGCGCGAAAGCUAGGGGAGCGAACGGG
rnacentral:rRNA from 1 species